AUUGAACGCUGGCGGCAGGCUUAACACAUGCAAGUCGAGCGGAGUGAUGGUGCUUGCACUAUCACUUAGCGGCGGACGGGUGAGUAAUGCUUAGGAAUCUGCCUAUUAGUGGGGGACAACAUCUCGAAAGGGAUGCUAAUACCGCAUACGUCCUACGGGAGAAAGCAGGGGAUCACUUGUGACCUUGCGCUAAUAGAUGAGCCUAAGUCGGAUUAGCUAGUUGGUGGGGUAAAGGCCUACCAAGGCGACGAUCUGUAGCGGGUCUGAGAGGGUGAUCCGACACACUGGGACUGAGACACGGCCCAGACUCCUACGGGAGGCAGCAGUGGGGAAUAUUGGACAAUGGGGGGAACCCUGAUCCAGCCAUGCCGCGUGUGUGAAGAAGGCCUUAUGGUUGUAAAGCACUUUAAGCGAGGAGGAGGCUCUUUUGGUUAAUACCCAAGAUGAGUGGACGUUACUCGCAGAAUAAGCACCGGCUAACUCUGUGCCAGCCGCCGCAGUAA
rnacentral:rRNA from 1 species